CGGCAAACUUGACAUUACACCAGAACUGCUAUGAAGAACGUAUACAUUGGUUUAAGUAACCUAUUUUUCUUCAUACUUCAUUGCCUUAAUUAUGAUGUUGUAGAAGCAAGAAGAGGUGACGUUAUACCAUUGGGAUCUAUUAUUGGAAGCUCAGAAAUGAGACAUCUCAAGGGUUCUCAUAUAGAUCGCCAUAAUUAUGACUACGAUAAAGCAGAAUUCCCUCAAUUUCGGAAACGAAAGGCAAAGAAAAAACACAAAGUAAUUAAAAACAAAAAUUCACUGCAACAUUCAGAAGAUGAUGAGAAGCAAACAUUCAAACACAAAGGGAAGAAGCGAGGCAGCAAGAGAUUUAUCAAGACAACUUUAAAAAAUAUAGACAAAGAUUCAAAUCUAUCCGAUUCAGAUGAUAAUGAUAAGAAUAAAAAUCCUGUUGAUAUUAUAGUUCAUAUCAAAAUGAAGGAAUAAUUGCUCACA